AAAAAAGACAAACACUGGUUUCCGUGUCCAACGUUUGACCGUUCGUCUUAUUUGAAAAAAUUAUGAAAAAAAUUAAAAAGAUAAGUCACGUAUAAAGUAUUAAUCAUAUUUUAUCAUCUAACAACAAUGAAAAUACUAAUUAUAAAAAAAUUUCAUAUAAGACGGACAGUCAAACGUUGGCACGGGAACCCAUGGUUUGUCUUUAU
rnacentral:pre_miRNA from 1 species